GACGAACCGAGCGAACGUUGUUCGGAAUCACUGGGCAUAAAGGGCGCGUAGGCGGGUCUCUAAGUCCGUGGUGAAAUACCCUAGCUCAACUAGGGAACUGCCUCGGAUACUGGAGCUCUUGAGGAAUGUAGGGGCGUGCGGAACGGCUGGUGGAGCGGUGAAAUGCGUUGAUAUCAGUCGGAACUCCGGUGGCGAAGGCGGCACGCUGGGCAUUAUCUGACGCUGAGGCGCGAAAGCCAGGGGAGCAAACGGG
rnacentral:rRNA from 1 species